rnacentral:tRNA from 1 species
GAGGAAGGCCAGAGGCAGUAAGCACUGCUAAUUCUUACACCCAUGGCUAAAUUCCAUGGCUUCCUUAC